GACUCAAAACCAAGUGAAAAUUCAGAGAGUGGUCAACCAGACAUUGAGAAUAAGAAGGAAGUGGUGCCAUCUCCAACGGAGAAAGCUGACACUGUGCCAAGUCAGUCCUCCCCACCACCGGCGGCGACAACUGCGACCACCACAGACACCACUAACACCACAAACACAAGUAACAACACAGACACGAGUAACGCCGCCAACGCAAGUAAUGCAUACAGGAGGACCUCAAACAUUCUUAGUUUACCAUUACCCAUCAUUGAUGAUGACUCCCAGGAUGCUGGGACAGACGAUGAUGCAAUGGACAUUUCACCUGCCGUGUCUCCUACUAAAACAAACGGUGACAAAGAGACCAAAGUGAAUGUGAAUCAGUCGCCAGAGAAUGAAGAAAUAGAGGAAGCCAUUGAUGAACAGGAGCGGAUUGACCUUGAUGCCCGAAUCCAGGCCAUAAUGGCUAGCAACACUCUCACUAACCUAGAGACAGAAGACAGCAAUGGACCAGUGUCACCAACAGAUGACAAACCCGAGAAACAAGAAGAGGAAGUUAUCAAACCUGUACAAGUUGAGGUUCCGGUGAAAAAACCAGAGGUUCCAGUAAAGAAACCAGAUAAGAAAGAGGUGGAAUCUGACUCAGAACCUAUCAUGGACGAUGACGAGCUUCACAGUCUGCUGGGCAUAUAGUGCGACAUCUGUAAGAUCUCAAGACCAAAACCAUAUAGCUUGGAUGCUGGCGAUUAUUUCAGUUAAACAAGAAGUUAUGGGAAUCAAGGCAUUGAAAAGCAUGAGUACUUAGAUCAGAAAAAUGAAUGAGAUGUGUGUACAAUCGUGUGAGCUGUGUGAUUGUGUGAUACUGGUGCAGACAGACAGCAGACAGCACCGAGGUCUGGUGAUGCACACACAGACUCUAACUAUACUGACCUCCUCAGAUUGAAGAUCAGAGUCUUUCUCAGUCAGGGUGAGCUGAGUUUUGUACAUUGACAUGUAAGGUAGUUAAUUGUUACAAAUCACGUGUCAAUCAUUGGGACUGUAAACUUGUCGUUAUUUAUCAAAAUAUUUUAACAGAGGUUAAGAUGUUAAGGCAGUGGUUUUGUUUGUCAUAUAUGACUACAUAAACCAAUAGAUGAGUGUGUCCAUUGGAAAUGUUGUAUUCUUGUCUAUAACUGUUUAGGUCUUAAUUAAAGACUGAUAUCUGUGAGAAUGCUUGUGUGAGUGUGUGAUGUGUUAGACAUGAAUCAGCCAUUUCAUUACCGUCAUUUAUCAUAACUUACAGAUAUCAUAUCACAUUUUGUAUUUUAAAAAAAUACAUUACUGUUUCACUCUAUGUAUGAUCAUGCAUUGAUUGAAAAGUCUUUUAAAGAUGAGAAAACUGCAAUAAAAACCAACAAGGUU
rnacentral:misc_RNA from 1 species